AGGGAGAGAGCUUCCAAUGCACUGUGGCCAGCAGGAGGAAACUUCAUCCCAACUGCCACGUGCUUCUGGAAGAAAGUCCUUAUGAGGAGAGCGGGAGUGAAGUUUGUGGGAUAUACAAACAUAACUGAAAAAAAACUGAAAUACUGAGGGCACUAAACAAUGAGCUGAACAGUCAAACCCCAUGCCACAGAGUACUGCAAAGCAGCUCGAUACUGUUUCUACAACUUACCCAUUUGGCUAGAGCUUCUCUGAUAGUUGUUGCUUUCGCCUAAAAGAUGAAAAAGUAAAUGAAUAU